GUUACCUUCAAUCAAGAGGACAAUCUUUUUAAUUACUAUAACCGGGAUAUUGGUUACAAAGGGUAGGACCAGACAUAUAUAGUGUCUGUACAUAGUCUCCCGCGAAGAACAAAUAAUAACCUAGAAAGUUUCCACAAUGCGUUGCGGUUGAAAUUUUCAGUUGCACGUCCCAAUCUGUGGUUCUUUCUUGAUAAGUAAUUUAAGUGAUUUAAGCAAAAAAUAUCAUACACUAGUUAGUCAAUUAGGAAACAACUUACAACCGACACAAAAUUUAAGAGCCAAUUUCUUACAAAACUCAAGAAAUAUCAAACAUGCCACUGAUCAGUACAACUUAGGACAAAUCACAAUAUGGGAAUACUGUGACGGAUGAUAUCCGUUUACUCCUAUGUAUACCAAAUAAUGAGUAUAAGUAGAUAACAUGCAGAUAUAAUAAAUAAUGCAAAUAUAAUUAUUACAACAAUGUAAAUCGAAUAAGGAGAAUAAGUAAUUAACAGACAGGUAUAAUAAGUAAUAGAAAUAAGAUACACAACUAAGAUAGUGAGGAAGGUUAAUUGGCAAUCCAUUAUAGACCACCAAUUACAUUAACUAAAAAGUAUUAUUUAGAAAAAACCACAUCAGAUAUACAAAAUUGUCAAUCGCCUAUAAAACAA